rnacentral:rRNA from 1 species
CCUACGGGAGGCAGCAGUGGGGAAUAUUGGACAAUGGGCGAAAGCCUGAUCCAGCAAUGCCGCGUGAGUGAUGAAGGCCUUAGGGUCGUAAAGCUCUUUUACCAGGGAUGAUAAUGACAGUACCUGGAGAAUAAGCUCCGGCUAACUCCGUGCCAGCAGCCGCGGUAAUACGGAGGGAGCUAGCGUUGUUCGGAAUUACUGGGCGUAAAGCGUGCGUAGGCGGUUAUUCAAGUCAGAGGUGAAAGCCCGGGGCUCAACCCCGGAACGGCCUUUGAAACUAGAUAACUAGAAUCUUGGAGAGGUCAGUGGAAUUCCGAGUGUAGAGGUGAAAUUCGUAGAUAUUCGGAAGAACACCAGUGGCGAAGGCGACUGACUGGACAAGUAUUGACGCUGAGGUACGAAAGCGUGGGGAGCAAACAGGAUUAGAUACCCUGGUAGUCCACGCCGUAAACGAUGAUAACUAGCUGUCCGGACACUUGGUGUUUUGGGGUGGUCGCGAGCGUACGACAUUAAGUUAGUUCCGUCCGUCGGGUAGGUACGGUCGGUCGAGAGUUAAACGUAACGAAAGGAAAGUUAGACGGCGUGUAGACGUUGCGACGGACGACGACGAGGGAGGAGG